GAGUUUGAUCAUGGCUCAGGACGAACGCUGGCGGCGUGCCUAAUACAUGCAAGUCGGGCGGAACCAUUGGAGCUUGCUCCUUUGGUUUAGCGGCGGACGGGUGAGUAACACGUGGGCAACCUGCCCUGCAGAUCGGGAUAACUCCGGGAAACCGGUGCUAAUACCGAAUAGUUUGCGGCCUCUCCUGAGGCUGCACGGAAAGACGGCAUCUCGCUGUCACUGCAGGAUGGGCCCGCGGCGCAUUAGCUAGUUGGUGGGGUAAUGGCCUACCAAGGCAACGAUGCGUAGCCGACCUGAGAGGGUGAUCGGCCACACUGGGACUGAGACACGGCCCAGACUCCUACGGGAGGCAGCAGUAGGGAAUCUUCCGCAAUGGACGAAAGUCUGACGGAGCAACGCCGCGUGAGUGACGAAGGUUUUCGGAUCGUAAAACUCUGUUGUGAGGGAAGAACAAGUACCAACUAACUAUUGGUACCUUGACGGUACCUCACCAGAAAGCCACGGUAACUACGUGCCAGCAGCCGCGGUAAUACGUAGGUGGCAAGCGUUGUCCGGAAUUAUUGGGCGUAAAGCGCGCGCAGGCGGUUUUUUAAGUCUGAUGUGAAAGCCCACGGGCUCAACCGUGGAGGGUCAUUGGAAAACUGGAGAACUUGAGUCCCGAAAGAGGAAAGUGGAUUCCAUGUUGUGAGGCGGGUGGAAAUUGCGGUUAGAGAUUGUGGGGGGAACC
rnacentral:rRNA from 1 species